UACGGGGGGUGCGAGCGUUCAUCGGAAUAACUGGGCUUAAAGGGCACGCAGGCGGACUUUUAAGUGAGGUGUGAAAUCCCAGGGCUCAACCUGGGAAUUGCAUUGCAUACUGGGAGUCUAGAGUACUUUAGGGAGGGGUAGAAUUCCACGUGUAGCGGUGAAAUGCGUAGAGAUGUGGAGGAAUACCGAAGGCGAAGGCAGCCCCUUGGGAAUGUACUGACGCUCAUGUGCGAAAGCGUGGGGAGCAAACAGG
rnacentral:rRNA from 1 species